rnacentral:tRNA from 5 species
GGGCCCGUAGCUCAGUUGGUUAGAGCACCGGACUCAUAAUCCGUCGGUCGCGGGUUCAAGCCCCGCCGGGCCUACCA